GCCAAUGGGAAGGUCUAAGGCCUGCGAGUCAUUGUAGCAAUACAAGGCAGACGGCUCAGUAACGCGUAGUCAAUCUACCCUAUGGACGGGAAUAACCUCGGGAAACCGAGAAUAAUGCCCGAUAGAACAUUAUACCUGGAACGGUUUAUGUUUCAAAUGAUUUAUCGCCGUAGGAUGGGACUGCGGCCUAUCAGUUUGUUGGUGAGGUAAUGGCCCACCAAGACUAUUACAGGUACGGGCUCUGAGAGGAGUAGCCCAGAGAUGGGUACUGAGACACGGACCCAGGCCCUAUGGGGCGCAGCAGGCGAGAAAACUUUGCAAUGUGCGAAAGCACGACAAGGUUAAUCCGAGUGGUUUCUGCUAAAGAAACCUUUUGCUAGUCCUAGAAACACUAGUGAAUAAGGGGUGGGCAAGUUCUGGUGUCAGCCGCCGCGGUAAAACCAGCACCUCAAGUGGUCAGGAUGAUUAUUGGGCCUAAAGCAUCCGUAGCUCGUUUUGUAAGUUUUCGGUUAAAUCCAUACGCUCAACGUAUGGGCUGCCGGGAAUACUGCAUAACUAGGAAGUGGGAGAGGUAGACGGUACUCGGUAGGAAGGGGUAAAAUCCUUUGAUCUAUUGAUGACCACCUGUGGCGAAGGCGGUCUACCAGAACACGUUCGACGGUGAGGGAUGAAAGCUGGGGGAGCAAACCGGAUUAGAUACCCGGGUAGUCCCAGCUGUAAACUAUGCAAACUCAGUGAUGCAUUGGCUUGUGGCCAAUGCAGUGCUGCAGGGAAGCCGUUAAGUUUGCCGCCUGGGAAGUACGUACGCAAGUAUGAAACUUAAAGGAAUUGGCGAGGGAGCACCACAAAGGGUGAAGCCUGCGGUUCAAUUGGAGUCAACGCCGGGAAAUC
rnacentral:rRNA from 1 species